GCGGGAGUAACUCAGUUGGUAGAGUACCUGCUUCCCAAGCAGGCUGUCGCGAGUUCGAGUCUCGUCUCCCGCU
rfam:Oscillochloris trichoides DG6 genomic scaffold OSCTscaffold_3, whole genome shotgun sequence.